UACGAAGGGGGCUAGCGUUGCUCGGAAUCACUGGGCGUAAAGCGCACGUAGGCGGAUUGCUAAGUCAGGGGUGAAAUCCUGGAGCUCAACUCCAGAACUGCCUUUGAUACUGGCAAUCUCGAGUCCGGGAGAGGUGAGUGGAAUUCCGAGUGUAGAGGUGAAAUUCGUAGAUAUUCGGAAGAACACCAGUGGCGAAGGCGACUUACUGGACACAUAUUGACGCUGAGGUGCGAAAGCGUGGGGAGCAAACAGG
rnacentral:rRNA from 1 species